rnacentral:tRNA from 1 species
GGCGGAUGUAGCUCAAGUGGA